GUUGCUGAAAUGAGUUUCAGUGCUGGAUCAGUAAUAGCAAACCCUAUCAUUGUUUUCCACACAGUGGAAAUCAAUCCGAUAGUGGUGAAGUAUCUCUUCCUGGAUUAUAUGCAACGCAAUCCUGACACCCUUCUCCAAAUUAAUCAAACAUUUACUAAAAAUAUUGAAACACCAGCACAAGCUGUGGUUCCAAACCAAACCGCAACCACCACCCCAGCUACAACAAUGACAACUACAUCAACCACUCCACUGACUCCAACUACGAAAGUUCCAACAACAACCGCCACAUUGACUCCAGCUACAACAACAAAAGUUACAACAACAACCACCAGA